rnacentral:lncRNA from 1 species
CCAACCACACUAACCACGUCUCUUAAUCUUACUCACAACAAUCUCAGCGGAUCUAUUCCUUCAGAUAUUGGCUACUUAAGUGAAUUAGAGAUACUUGAUCUUUCAUACAACAGUCUGUCUGGUGAGGUGCCAUCUUCACUAGGGAACCUGCAAAGUUUGACACAGCUGGUGCUUUCUUAUAAUGAUCUUUCUGGGUCUGUUCCUAGCUUCCUCAUAAAUGUGUCAAUUCAUAUUGAAGGGAAUCCUGAUCUUGUAAAUGGUACAGGAGACAAGAAUGGCAUCCAUACUACUAGUACGAGAAAAAGGCACACUGUUGUCAUCAUCAUCUUCAUUAUUGCCGGUGCUCUUGUUGGAUUGUGUUUGCUUGCUGCUAUUGUUAUGAUGUCGUUAUCAGCUGGGGAGAGUGUUUCUCAAAUCAUCAAUGGUGGCCCAGUUUUGAACAACAACCAAACCUCUGCAACUGCAACUGAGUUCAUGAAAGCAAGGCCGGAUAACUGGCAGGUCACACGUUUCCAAGCUUUGAACUUCGAGGAUGCAGACAUACACCAGGGGCUAAUUGAGAAGAACCUCAUUGGCAGCGGCGGAUCAGGGCACGUGUACCGUGUCAUGUACAUCAACCGGUGCAACGGCAGCACUGGGGUGGUUGCUGUGAAGCUGAUACGGAGUACUGGGAGCCUGGACGAGAAGCUGGAGCGUGAAUUCGAGUCUGAGGUGAGCAGCCUUGGUAACGUCAGGCACAAUAACAUCAUCAGGCUGCUGUGCUGCAUCUCUGGUGAUGAGUCAAAGCUCCUCGUGUACGAUUACAUGGACAACGGCAGCCUGGACAAUUGGCUCCAUGGCAACACCCUCUGCACAGGGCACUCCAUGGUGAGGCCGCAGUCUGUGCAGCGCGUACCGUUGGACUGGCCGACGAGGCUUAUAGUGGCUGUUGGUGCCGCACAGGGACUGUGCUACAUGCAUCACGACUGUUCACCACCUAUCAUUCACCGGGACAUCAAGACGAGCAAUAUCUUACUGGACUCCGAGUUCCAGGCUAAGGUUGCGGACUUCGGGCUGGCCAGGAUGCUGGUGCGGGCAGGGGAGCCCAACACAAUGUCUGCAGUGGCCGGAUCGUUUGGCUACAUGGCUCCCGGUAAGGUCAACUCUUUUGUUAUUUCGGCAGAUUUCACUCAUUUUGCCAGAUUCUGUACAGUAACUAGGGUAGUAGCUACUGUAAAUAUCAUAGGUCAUAAUAUUGCCAGACCUUAUUAUAUUACAAUUUUUCAUGUUUAUCUGCAGAGUAUGCUUACACGAGGAAGGUGAAUGAGAAGGUGGAUGUCUACAGCUUUGGAGUCGUGCUCUUGGAGCUCACAACCGGCAAGAAGGCCAACGAAGGCGGCGAGCUUGGUUGCCUGGCCGAAUGGGCUCGGCACCACUACCAAUCAGGGGCGGCCAUCCUCGAUGUUAUAGACAAAAGCAUCAGGUAUGCAGGAUACCCUAGCGAGAUUGAGACUGUGUUCAGCCUAGGCGUGCAAUGCACCGCAACCUUUCCAUUGACACGGCCGACUAUGAAGAAUGUGCUGCGGAUUUUGCUCAAGUGCUGCGAUCAGACGCUCCGGAAAAGCAGAAUGGAGUUUAGCAUGGAGUACGAAGCAGCUCCAUUCUUGAUGCCAUAGCGGAUCAGCUGUCAGGAACAGAUGUCCAACGGCAAAGGAAAGAAGUAUUAUUGAAAACUGAAGAGAAGAGUGACUUCAAUUGCAGUGCUGAACUCUUAGGAUAAAACUUGACACUGCACACAGGACAUAUUUUGUUUUCAGAACAUGCUAGGACAUAUUUAUUUUUAAGUGGAGUUGCAGUAGUAGCCAUGUGUGAGUAGUUUCUAGUCGUUUUUGUAUCCUCUGUUUUUUUUUCUAUGGCAAAUCUCUUUGACGUCUUAAGAUAUACUCCCUCCAUUCCAAAUUACUAUUUGUUUUGAUUUUUUACAUAUCUUUUACUUAUUUUACUAUGCGUAUAGUUAUGUAUAUAGAAAAGUCAAAACGAAUAGUAAUUUGGACGGAGGGAGCAGGAUACAGACACGCUCACUCGAUAGUCAACAGUUAUAAUCGGGGGAAUUAUGACCCGAGAGUGAAUUACUGGUGGUUAAGUUUGAAUUUCAAGUACAAUUCGGCCCAUUACCAUACGAAACAAGUCUUUGCCUCGGAAAACCAUCCAGACCCCUCCAAUUUAACUAAGCAUACACCGUACAUGUUUAUCACAAAUCACAAUCGACAUGACGUUGUUUGCCUUUUUUUUUUCCCGAGAAGCGUAUCAUACUAAACCAUUCUCAAUGCAAUGCAAGUUUCAGGAGUGUUUCAAACUCAUUAAAUGAUGGGUUACGUAGGUAAAAAUGGUGACAUGAUAUAAAAUUUACAAAGAAAGAGAGAAAUUGGGUUUUAUGGGGAUGAAAUCCUGUGUACACGGUUACCAAGACUUUGAAACUAUGAUGAAACUCCAUUGAGAACAAUUUGUUUCAUCUUCAUAACUUUUGUGGAUCCUAUGUGGCCAUGGUUAGUAUGCCACCACUAAAUUUAGUGCCACCACUAAAUUUAGGUACAAGUGGUUACAUAUUUAUAUGGCAUAUUUGAUCUCAACAUCAUACAACAAUCAAAUACUAUGAGUAGCCUAUGAAAUCAUAACAUGAAAUUGUAUACUGUGAGGGACCGUUUCAUUCAUUAACUUAAAUCUUUGAAGAUGAUGUGGUACUCUUGGAAACGGUGUAGCGAAACUCUCCAACGAUAAUAGUCUGAGAAUAGUCUUAAAUCCUCACGGGGAGAUUAGUGAUGACUGCGUCUCGAGACUCUAACCAAACUAUUUUACACCCUUUUCUAUUUUCUAUUAGGCUUUCGGCACUGUGCAUUGCACCUGGAGAAGCUUGAAUCAGAGUGAGGCACACUCAACACCCCUGAAUAAUCUAGACUCUAUAGUAGCCUUUUGCCUAACUGCUUGCUUGCUGGUCUAAUCCGUGUGACAGUUUCACAUCGAGACCCAAAACUCCAAGGAUCAUCCUUGACAGGGUAGAGCCUACAGUUUCACGCACAAAAAGGUAGCCUUUCCUCCGGCUCCUCUCCGUAAAACACGGCUUGUCUCCCCCUGAUGCGAAAGCAAAGGCCAUUUGAAGCUUUAGCUUCUUUAGCUUUCGUCUUUCCUGUUGAUUACUGCCCAGCUGGUACGGCCAUCUUGUUCUUUUUUCCGAGGCACUGUCAGUCGCGAUAUGGUACCGUUGAACACAGAUCCAAAGCUUGCUUUCAAUAGCAUUCCCUAGUGCUCUCUAUUUUACUCUGAAUAAACUGAAUGCAAAUAUUUUAUUUUUCGUUUGCUCAGGGGGGAAACUUCCAAAAUUGUUGUCAGGUUUUUACUUGCAACAUCCUUUGGACUGGCCUGUGAUACCUGUUGGACCUGGUCGCAGCAGGAGGUCCCAUGCAUCAUCUAUCGUCAGAGAAGAAGCUGCACUGCAGAAACCGGAACCAUGGCACGUUUUAGAUUUUAGGUGUUGUGGAGAAUCCUGACGAAACGAUUCCGUGGAAAACGCCAUAUGGCCGUGUGUGAGAGAACGGUGAAGUCUCCGUUCAACGUCUCCUCGUCAAGUGUGUGGACUGAGUGAGCUCCUUUUCCCUGCUAGAAUAUUUUUCAGGUAAACCAAAGCCACUCCAAACCAAGGUCUCGGUCAAGCUUCUUUGGCAUUUCCAACGCGUCGCCAUUUUCCUUGGGUUGGUCCACGGUUUGCUUUUCCAAUUCUUGCGUUUGCGUCAGCAGUCCCGUUCACGUUUCAUACCUGGAUCCAGUGAUCACACAGCUUGAGCUACAACUAGUCCUUUUCAGAAUUAUAAGAGGCUCCCGGUUGUAGCUGAGCCAGAGCACCAGCUUCUUUGACCCGGCAUACCUAAGGGCUAGUUUGGCAGGGCUCCGGCUCCGGCUCCGUGCACUUACUGAAGCACGGAGGAGCCGGAGCCGCACCAAACGGCAUUGACCGCGGAGCCAUUUUUGGCACAUUUGGGAGGAGCCGGAGCCGUUUUAGGCUUGCAUGGAGGAGCCCAAAAAAGUGGCUCCGUGGCUCCGGCUCCGGCUCCGCACGAGGAGCCCCUCGCGAGGAGCCCUGCCAAACUCGCCCUAAAGCUACUUUAUUUUAAGCGAAACUUCAAAACCGUCCACCUUUUCGAUAAAAUUUGUUCCUAGAGGACGAUGGGAUACUAUGGGCUAAACUUUAGGCCUGUCAUGUCGGAUGCUCGGAUGCUAAUUAGCAGGAUUAAAUAUGAAUUUCUGCUAUUAAUUUUAUAAUUAGUCUAUAAUUAAUACUCGAGUGUCAAACCUCCGAUAUGAUAGGAGCUUAGUCCCCGUCUCCAAACCCCCCUUAAUCUUAAUGCGCCCGAUAUGGAUAACUCAGCACAAACUUGUACUCCGUUCACUCAUAAUUAGCAAAAAUCACAAUUCAUACCACACUCUAGUAUACGGAGUAGACGGCGGUGUACGUCAGUCAGUCAGUCAACGCUGGACCCAACCCGAACCCAAGAGAAGGGGCACCAGAAAAACAUCAAGAAAAAUUAUAAGAAAUCACGGCCUCUGCCCCGCUCUCUCCCCAGUCUCCUCUCAAUCGCCCUGAAGAACAUAACCCAAGAAGGUCAUGGCGGAGCACACCCGGAACCCCAGAACCUAGAGAGAGGGGGGAAAGAUCUCGUCUUGUUUUUAGUUUUUUACUUCCUGCUGCUCCGGCCGGUGAAGUUCAGCGGGAGUGAAGGGGAGAGGAAGAGGCGAAGCGAUCAGAGAAGUGGAAGGCAAGAAGGUUCAAUCAGAUGGCUAUGGUGGGGAUGAGGAGGUAUUGUCUCUGCGCCAGCCAUGGUUUUUUCGUGCUAGUGUUUCUCCCGUUCUUGUUCUUGUUUCACCAUGCGCCCGUGGCCGCCGGCGCCGAUGCGCCGUCUUCGCAACCAUCACUGGACAAGACGCAGGAAGCCAUCAUGAAGGAUCUCUUGAGGAUCGUUGGUAGCAGCAGUUGGUCGAACACCACCACCUCGAAUCCUUGUAAGUGGAGCGGAGUCAACUGCACGCGCUCCGGUUCCUCUUGGGUGGUGACCAACAUAACCUUGCCCAACUGUGGAAUAUCAAACUCUUCCAUCUUCGCUUCCAUUUGCCGUCUUGAGAGCUUGCUGGCCCUUGACCUCUCCAGAAAUUCCUUGACAAAUUUGACCACCCAAUUCUUCUCCCCUUCUUGUUCGACGAAGGAAGGGUUGCGUCUCCUCAAUCUGAGCAGCAACAUGUUAUCUCACCCGCUCAGUAAUUUCUCAGCUUUCCCACAACUGGAGGUUCUUGAUUUGUCCUUAAAUUCUUUUACUAGUGAAAAUUUGAGUGCAGACUUGGGUUCUUUCCUCAAAUUGAGGAGCUUGAACGUUAGUGCCAAUAAGUUGACUGGCGAAGUUCCUACUUCUAUGGUCGGCUCUUUGUUGGAGUUGGUAUUGUCUGGUAAUCAGUUGAAUGGUUCAAUUCCUCCAGAUUUGUUUAAAUAUGAAAAUCUUACUCUGCUGGAUCUCAGCCAGAAUUUUCUAACUGGCGUUGUCCCAGAUAAGUUCAUGAAGCUCUCCAAGCUUGAGACUUUGCUCCUUUCAGGCAAUAAACUGAUUGGGGAAAUACCACCGAGUCUGUCAAAUGUAAGGACGCUGUCUCGGUUUGCGGCUAACCAGAACAACUUCAAUGGUUCAGUUCCCAGCAAUAUUACCAAACAUGUAAGGAUGUUGGAUCUGAGUUACAACAAUCUGAACGGGACGAUUCCCUUGGAUUUUCUCUCCCAUCCAGGGUUGCAGAGUGUUGAUCUUACCACAAACAUGCUUGAAGGGUCUAUUCCCCGCAACUUCUCUCCAAGCCUCUACCGCUUGAGGCUUGGUGGGAACAGGCUCAGUGGGAACAUCUCAGACUCAAUUUGUGAUGGCAUGGGCUUGACUUAUCUUGAGUUGGAUAACAAUCAGUUGACCGGAAAUAUACCGUCAGAGCUUGGUAACUGCAAGAACCUGUCCUUGUUGAGUCUGGCAUCAAAUAAGCUACAGGGUCAAGUGCCUCCUGCUAUCAGUAGCCUUGACAAGCUGGUAGUUCUGAAGCUUCAAAACAACUCUCUCAACGGACCUAUCCCAUAUGCAUUUUCUGAUUUAAAGAGCCUGAGCAUAUUGAAUCUUAGUCAGAAUUUACUCACGGGCGAGAUACCAAGCGGAAUUUUCGAGUUGCAAAAGCUUUCCAUCUUGGAUUUGCAUGACAACAGUAUCAGUGGUGCCAUUCCAAUUUCAGUCAGUUUAUCAAAGGCUCUAAUUGAGCUGAAUCUGGGGAAUAAUGCUCUGGCUGGUACCAUCCCAACAAUGCCAACCACACUAACCACAUCUCUUAAUCUUAGUCACAACAAUCUCAGCGGAUCUAUUCCUUCAGAUAUUGGCUACUUAAGUGAAUUAGAGAUACUUGAUCUUUCAUACAACAGUCUGUCUGGUGAGGUGCCAUCUUCACUAGGGAACCUGCAAAGUUUGACACAGCUGGUGCUUUCUUAUAAUGAUCUUUCUGGGUCUGUUCCUAUAUUCCGCCAAAAUGUGUCAAUUCGUAUUGAAGGGAAUCCUGAUGUUGUAAAUGGUACAGGAGACAAGAAUGGCAUCCAUACUACUAGU